CGCCGUCCCCGCACAGGCCGUCGCUAUUUCUUUUCCCUCUCGUCCUCUGCUACGCCGGCUGAACAGAAGAGCCGCGGCCCCUUCGAUUCCUGCCGACGUCGACCAUCUCCAGCACCAGAAGAGGACGAGCGAGGUAGCAAUUGUUGGAUGGGCAGCAGAUGCCCGGCGGCGUGGGAGGUGGAGGUCCUGGCGACGCCGCCUCUAGCCCUUCCCCGCUGCCUCUGCCUCAUCUUAGGGCGGCGGGCACGGAGUUCAUAUCCACCGGCGACUCGCAUUUUUCCCAGAAGCGGCCGGUGGCCGUGAAAUGAGGAACGAGGAGAAGCUGGACCGGCCGAAGAUAGAGAUUGACGGCUGUAUCGUGGAUUGGGCUGUGUUGGUGGGUGGGGAUUUGAUCCAAAUCGAGACGAAUGAAGGUGCUAGCUAGGUUCUCUGCAGUACGGGUGGGUUUCAGCAGGAGGACCUCCUCGUCCUCACCGGCGGCGAGGCGGCUGGCGAAGGGCGCAGCAGAACAGCGCAAGGUCACAGGCCUUCUUCGCUUGAUUGGCUGUUUGAACAAGAAAUCGAGCAGCUCCACGACUUUCUGCCUGCGGGAGGCUGCGGUGGCCGGGCAGGUUCUUUUGCAGCACUUGCUUUCACAGUGCUGAAACUUCCUCCGGAUUGUGCAAUUGGAACAAAAUCAUGCAGCUCCUCUUUAAUCCAAGACCUGUUCUGGUGUACUCAUCUCAUCUGGUACAAUAGGCUCAUACCCUGUAUCCAUCUUAUUUGUAGGUGUACUCAUCUCAUCUGAUUCGGGUGAUAAGGCAAGCUGGUUUUUUUAGCAGCAUGAGGAGAAAACAGCGUGUACAUUGUUCUUCAGAUAUUCAGCAUUUAACUAUUUGCAGUUAAGCUUGCAAAAGGCUUCUAUCAUUUUAUCUUGAUGAUCAACCAAGAACCGAGAAGCUAGGCAUGUCUGCAGAAACAUAAAUUUCAUGCUAUUAUUUUAUUUCUCCAUAUUUAUCGCAUUCAUGAUUCAGAGGUUGUUCUAGCAAGUCCUACAGUGCAUCGAUUUUAAGAAAGCAAAGUUAUGUGAUGCAGAGAAUUAUGUUUUAAAGUUGUUCAUUAAUUCAGCUACUUUUUAUUACCCGCUUUACAGAUAUAUUUCACCGACUGGUCUAAGUAGGUUUUAUGUCAUGCUUGUUAAGAUUUUGAUUCCCAGAUGCUUGAGUAUUACUUUUUUUUACAAAUUAGCGGACUGAGAUCCAUGGAGACCAUGUUUUGAGAGUUAAGAAUUUAAACUUUCAUGCGAAAUUCUUUCCUAGCCUCACCUAGAAAGAUGUAUUUUCUUAAGUAUUGCAGUGGUAAAGCGAGUAAGCAGAUUAGUGUGAUAUACAACUUCAGUUUUGUAAUGCAUACACGAGCAUGUUGUAAAAUAUCUUGUUAGUAAUCUUGUUGUCUGGUGGUUAA